GACGAACGCUGGCGGCGUGCUUAACACAUGCAAGUUGAACGAGAAUUUUUCGAGCGCUUUCUUCGGAAUGAUCACGAAAAAGGAAAGUAGCGAACGGGUGAGUAACACGUGAGAAACCUGCCUUUCACAAAGGGAUAGCCUCGGGAAACCGGGAUUAAUACCUUAUGAAACCAAACACUCGCAUGAGAGAUUGGUUAAAGAUUUAUCGGUGUUAGAUGGUCUCGCGUCUGAUUAGCUAGUUGGUGGGAUAAAAGCCUACCAAGGCAACGAUCAGUAGCCGGAUUGAGAGGUUGAACGGCCACACUGGAACUGAGACACGGUCCAGACUCCUACGGGAGGCAGCAGUGGGGAAUUUUGCACAAUGGAGGAAACUCUGAUGCAGCGACGCCGCGUGAGUGAUGAAGGUCUUCGGAUUGUAAAACUCUGUCCUUAGUGAAGAUAAUGACAGUAACUAAGAAGCAAGCCCUGGCUAAAUACGUG
rnacentral:rRNA from 1 species